rnacentral:sRNA from 1 species
CGCGCUGUCAUUGGGGAGUAGCCGCCCUUCUUCACUGAGAGGGGCUUGCGUCAACAGACUUGUCUGGCCAGCAACGGCCAACAUGGCGCAAGCAGAGUCCUGCAACAGGAUUUUGGCGAGACCUUUGGCUGCGCGCCUCCGUUUUUGGCCGGGGAUGCCGCGCAGUCAUUGGUUUUGUUUGUCCGGCCGGAGACCCU